ACGCUGGCGGCAUGCUUUACACAUGCAAGUCGGACGGCAGCACAGAGAAGCUUGCUUCUUGGGUGGCGAGUGGCGAACGGGUGAGUAAUAUAUCGGAACGUACCGAGUAAUGGGGGAUAACUAAUCGAAAGAUUAGCUAAUACCGCAUAUUCUCUGAGGAGGAAAGCAGGGGACCUUCGGGCCUUGCGUUAUUCGAGCGGCCGAUAUCUGAUUAGCUAGUUGGUGGGGUAAAGGCCUACCAAGGCGACGAUCAGUAGCGGGUCUGAGAGGAUGAUCCGCCACACUGGGACUGAGACACGGCCCAGACUCCUACGGGAGGCAGCAGUGGGGAAUUUUGGACAAUGGGCGCAAGCCUGAUCCAGCCAUGCCGCGUGUCUGAAGAAGGCCUUCGGGUUGUAAAGGACUUUUGUCAGGGAAGAAAAGGCUGUUGCUAAUACCGACAGCUGAUGACGGUACCUGAAGAAUAAGCACCGGCUAACUACGUGCCAGCAGCCGCGGUAAUACGUAGGGUGCGAGCGUUAAUCGGAAUUACUGGGCGUAAAGCGAGCGCAGACGGUUACUUAAGCAGGAUGUGAAAUCCCCGGGCUCAACCUGGGAACUGCGUUCUGAACUGGGUGACUAGAGUGUGUCAGAGGGAGGUAGAAUUCCACGUGUAGCAGUGAAAUGCGUAGAGAUGUGGAGGAAUACCGAUGGCGAAGGCAGCCUCCUGGGAUAACACUGACGUUCAUGCUCGGAAGCGUGGGUAGCAAACAGGAUUAGAUACCCUGGUAGUCCACGCCCUAAACGAUGUCGAUUAGCUGUUGGGCAACUUGAUUGCUUAGUAGCGUAGCUAACGCGUGAAAUUGACCGCCUGGGGAGUACGGUCGCAAGAUUAAAACUCAAAGGAAUUGACGGGGACCCGCACAAGCGGUGGAUGAUGUGGAU
rnacentral:rRNA from 1 species